rnacentral:lncRNA from 1 species
UUUUUUUUUUUUUUUGGGGUUAAACGAAGAAGAAGAGAAUUUUGAUACCAAUUCAAUCCUCACAUGCAAUGUUGGGUGAUACACAAUGUUUUAAAAAUCCCCGUCUAGAACCUCGUCUUCACCGUUUCUAUCUAGAGAGCUAGAAAAUCGAUUACUCUUUAUCCCCCGAUUAACCCGCCUAAGCGUUAAUCACUGGUUGUCCGCCGACUAGCGCCUAUCAUUUUUUAAAAAUUGGUGAUACGUACCGAAAAUGUUAGUAAGUACAACCUUGUUCUAGCGGAAAUACAAAUUUUUCUACCCCUGUCAUCUCUCGGGUAGCAGAGAAUACUCUAGUUUCAUCAUCCAAAAGCCGAAUCUGCUCAUAAACGUUUUAGAGAGAAUGAGAAACCUUAUGCUCCGGCCAUUGGCUGACACAGCCGGCCCUUGACUUAUCUCUGAGUUUUGUUUUCCGUUGUUUUUAACACGACAUGAUCAAAACAGCAUUGGCAUGGCCUUCUCUCAACAAAACCAAAGGUCUCUCGCAGGCCUUCUUUAUUUUUUGGGUGAUAUAUUAGUGUCUUUGUCUGACUUCGAUUACAAUAUAAUGGAAGCGCACAACGUUUGAAUUGUUGCUCAAAUCCAGCAAAAACUAAUGGCUUUGUUGUUUAACGUUAAAUACGGAAAAUAAUGUUGAUUAUUUGUGAUGGAUUUUGACUUGUACAUGUUGAAUUUUAUCAAAAACGUCAAAACAAGAUGCUGGAAACCUGAAAUUAAGCCAGCUCUGUUUUAUUUUAUUGGUCAAAUAAAUUAAACGUGAGAUUCUGGAAAACAUGAAUGAGACAGAGAUUACAAGAAUAGAGAAAUAUUUCCAUCUGUGAAAUAAAAAACUUGGUCAAUUUUAUGAUGAACUUAUUCCAUGAUUUCCAUUGCUGGUACCGGGCGAGGUGGAUGACAGAUUAGUCCAAAAAGAAAAGUAUGUAGAAGAUGAGAUUUGCCACAAAUUAGUACUGUGAUCGAGGGCGUGCCGCUUGUCCUUGACGACAGGAUAAUGUGGCAUCGAUUUUCAAAAGCUGGGUGGUCUGAGACUGCAAUGCACGCUUCUGCCUCUGCUUUUCUAUUCAUUUCUUUUCACCAGAUAAAGAACCCGAUGCUUAAUUUCACUGUCUUUCUUGAAUCAAAUUCACAGCCUGCUACAGUCUUACUCAUAUAAAGGAGACCAAAUGGUGAUGGUAUUUCAUGAUAAUUUUGAUGAAAUAUUUAUCAAAUUAAAUAAAUAAAUAAAAAAACAUGAUUCUCACCGGUUAUUAGAUUAAAAAGAAUUUCACCUAUGGAAAAUAUUUGUGUAUCGAAAUACCAUAUCGAUUAUGUACAAUAAAAAAUAAACACAUGCAUGAUCGAAAGACAUGAACGACACGAAUCAAAAUGAUUAUAUAAGUAAAAAAACCUCAAAAUAUCUGUUUUUUUGUCAUGCAUAGUAAUGGUGCCAGACACCAGUGAUAAAUUGUCGCAAAGUAGCGAGAAUUAGAGACUAACGAUCUGCUUUGUGAGGGUUUCUUGCACCAUUGAUAAAUGCCCAAGCCAUAACGGCUAGUGUUUAGUGAAUGAUAAGAGAGACGAAGAGUCAUCAUUAUAUUUUUUAGAAAUAGUAUUGUUCAAUAAAACAACCUUGUCGCACUCUAUAAAUACACAAGAAAAUAACAUUUUUAUUUCUUAACUACGCUUCUAAAAGAUCAAACUUGAAGAUGAUCUAAUUCACAACUCAAUUAUUUGACUAAACAUUGAAAAUGAUAUUCACAACUCAUUUCCUUUUUUAUUUUUAUUUUUAAAAUCACAACUAGCAUAUUGGGUUAAGGAAACCCUUGGUUUAAACAGGAUUAUAAUGUAGAAAAAAAUUUAUGUAAGGUUUUUCCUACCACGUGACAGUGGGGCAACCUUUUACGUAGCGUGCCUGUAUUGAGACAUUAUCUUCAAAAUUUGGCCGUAUGGUACAGCAGUGCAGCCGUAUAGUAGUGUUCUGUAGUCCUGUACCAUGACACCAAACACCUCGUGAAAAGUGAAUACCACGACAUAAAUGAAUAAACGUACACACACCCACUACCCUUGCAUCAUCAUGUGAAUGCUUUCAAAUACCACCCCACCAUAAUUUCCAUUAUUUCUUUCUAGAUCUCUCUCAUUUCCAUUAUUGAAAAAACAGAUCCGAAAUCUGGCGCCAAAAGGCGGGUAGAUAUUAAAUGAAAGAAAGGGUACGGCCACGUGGAAACGUGGAAGCCAAGGCCCAAACGGGGCAACCCAACUUGACAGACCUAAAUCAAAUCUAAUCCAACGACCCGUCGGCUUUUUAUCAAAACAGCGGCUGCCCUACGCACUCGACGUGUCGGCAGCACCGCUUUGCCACGUGUCCGUCUUUCUUCUAGAUUCUGCGGUCGGCGCGCAUGGAUUUUGGCGCGCCGAAUCGAAGGAUUGGAGGGAAAUGUGGAUCGGGCUGUCGCCCACCCAAAUUUUUGGUGGUUUGCUUAAUCGCUGUUGACAUGUCGUUUGAUUCGAGAAUUCGAGAAAGGCGUCGGCUUUUGGACUUUUGUGUUACACACUCUAAUUGAAGAUUUUAGAGAGACGACUUAGAAAUUCUCUAUAGUCAAACGUGUAUAUGUUCACUAAUGACAUCCUACAUGAUUGUGAUUCUUGAGAAACAAAAACAAGAUAAAAGAUAGCCAAUUGAGAUCAUGAGUUUGUUUACGGUUGAUAAAAUAAAAAAUGAUAUGGAAUAUGCAAAUCUGAUCCUAUGCUAUAUUGUUGUUGUUUAUGAUCUUAUCAUGAUGUCAUCCAAUAUUUACCAUUUCAAACAUGAAUAAUUUUUUAGUACUAAUAUUUUCGUCCUUGAAAACAGUAGAUUAGUUGCCUAAAACAUCACCUGAUAGUGAACUAUAAACCAAAUAAUUAAAUUCAAUAAAUUGCUUAGGCUAAAGAGCCUGAUAUCCAUGUGUUACAACAACCCUUGACAUUAGAGCAAACCACUACCUUAACGGGGGAAGUCACACUCCAUAACCUAGAUAUCAUAUCACCACUAGGCCAAACAAACAUCCCAAAGCGCGACUUAAAAUAUUUUCCUUCUAGUUCAUAAACCGGUGUAUCAAAAGCAUCAUCAUACCCAACUAAAAUGCACGACCUAUCUCUACACGACUACGCCCGGACCCAACUCCUCCUAGCACAUAACCAUUCCCAUACCGCCACACGUAGCCCUUGCUAAAGAUCUUAUCCCGAUCGCCGGUGCAAUCAUGCUCGAGACCGACACUAUCAGCCCCACAUCACAAACCAAUAUGGUCCGAGCCUAAUCUUAAUAUCUUCCAACCAUUACCGUAGUCGUCACUCAAACCGAGACAACGUAUAUCGACAUUUUAUCUGAGUAUGAGCACUACGGUCAUUGUGAAAACUAAGUUUAAGAACAUGGUAUCUUGCUGUAAUAAACUGAACCCUAUUAGUUGUUCAAUCUGAUGAUACUAAUAAUCUAGUAUUUAUCUAUCUAAAGUUUAAAAGAUAUUUGUCUAACGGGAUCCUAAUAUCCCUAAUGCUUGAUUAAUAAAAGAAACUUCAUAUUUUACCGGCAAUCAGUUUAUUUUAAGAAACAACAGCAGUCAUUAUCAGUAGUCACAACAUCAACCACCCAAUUAGGUCUUCCAAUUUCCAGAAAAUAAUACGUAAUCAAUUACCUACAACCUUUCCUCUUACACCGGUCUUUAUUGAAAAAGUCAGUCUCACCUCCCCGUCAAUUCCACGUCUGCAACCCUAAAUCGAAUCCAAACUCCCCGUUCUAAAACACCCAAAAUCGACAAUACCCAAACCACCCUCGCUAUUACCAAGAAUUACAUCCUCUUCAUCCAUCAAAAUGGAUCUGUCAUGGUCAAGCCGAGCCGAGAUAAAAGAAAAUGACGCCGAGAUUGACUAGGCAAGUGGGCCAAAACCCAACUGACCCGGACCUGCACCCGAAAUUCAAAUCAAAUUAAUAGAAAAAAAACAGAUAAAUGAGAGGAAAUUUAAAAAAAGAAAAGGCAAGGCGUCCGUGAUGGCCUAAGUAUUCGAACCCACGCGCCCGCGUCACCAUCACCACCCACACUUUCCCUAUCUCUCUCUACUUUCUCUCUCUACAUUGUCCCCCUAUAUAUACCAACCGCUUCUCUCCUCGCUUUUCCACACCACCACCACCACCACUGCUUCUACAAUCAUCUCAAAAAUCUCUCAUUCCGAUUUUUAAUGGAAGACACGAAUAUCAAGAAGCGAGUUCGGGACUACGAGUCCGACUCGGUCGAAGCGAAGCGGCUACGAGAAGACCUACUGGAGGACUUCCUUGACGAUUCCGAUUCCGUUCCGGCGAGUCACGACCUCGACUCGUUCAUGAAGAGCUUCGAGGAAGAGAUCUCCGCUACUAAUUCUUGCUCGACGUCGCCUCGUCCGGCGCCGGAAUCUUCCGCCGCUCCGGUGGUGGUCGAUCUGACGUCGGAUUCCGGCGAGUCCAAUCCGGAUCUCACGCACCUUCUAGAAGCGUCGGAUGACGAGCUCGGCCUUCCCCCGUCCGAAGGGUUCAGCGGCGAGGCGGCGAACGACAGGGAGUCUGAGUUGGUUAGAGUGUCGUCUGACUCGUCCGGGAUCGGCGAGUUAUGGCGGUUUGACGACCAGGGUCCGAGUUACGACUCGUUCGAGUUGAAUGCCGGAGCUGGUAGUAACUUUGAUGAUAGCGGUUACGUGGCGUUUGAUGGGCUGUUCGAGCACUCAGAUGUGUAUUUUGAAUCGUCUGAUUACUCCGAUUUUUCGUGGCGCUUCGAAACGCCGCCUGCGGAGUAGAGGAUGAAACGAUUCGUUUUACGGCAAAUGGAACAUUAUACAGAUCUGUAAAUUCUUUUUAAUUUUUUUAAAAAGGUGGUUAGAAAUAUGUAGAACCAGAAUGAUAAUCUGAUAUUAAAUUAGGAAUUAUGAACAACAAAAGAGAAAGAUUGCCUUGUUGCACUCCAGGAAUUAGGUUCGAUCAAUUCCACCGGUAAUUUUUCUCGGUAAAACUGUAAUUACGUAAUUCGGAGAAUAUUGACAGAACAUGAAGAAUAUUGUUGUGUUUACUCAUGUGUGGCAUGGUAAAAGGACCUUGAUAACAAUUAUAUUAGAAAAAUUAAUGUUUGUUUAGUUUCUAAAGUUUUAAUGCUUCAUUGUUGAUGAGUAGGAUAUGGGACCUGUCACAUAUAAAAUGAAUGAGUUAUGUCAUUUGUUAGGUUACUCUAGUUGUACCUAAUUACCCAUACCAAAAGAAACCCUUUUAUAUCAUCCCCUGUCUCUUUUUAUAUCUCAUCUUCUGACUAUACAUCAACAUCACCACUGUGGUGAAUUUUUUGCUACAUGAUCAAUAUUGGCAAGAUUUGGUAGCUGGGUGUACAUAUUCAAUAAUUAUUCUGUCUUCAUCCAAAUAUACUCACGAUGUAAAUGAGAUUUAAAUACGUGAUAUUUAUAUAUAACAGGAUGGUCAAACAAAUUAACUAUUAGAAAAAAGUGUGGUUUAGGUAUUAGUCAUUUGGAAUCUCAUAUUGGAAACGUGAAAUAGUCAUUCUUAGGUUAUAAGAAAUGAUAUCACACACACUAAUGUCGAGACCUUUUGUAUAAAACAUCAUACUCGUUUCUUCACUGGGUGGUUAAAAUGAGAGGAGUAUCGACAUUAUUGAACCCGUGUGUAUGAGACCAAUGGGGACCGUUGGCCGCUUUCGCAUAACAUUAACCACAACUCACCAAUAAUUUUGGAGUUGAUUAAUAUAGUUAUUUGACAUUUUUGAUAAAUUUUGCAUUAGUUUGAGUAAUAUUUGUUCAAUUUUCAACAUCUUCGUAGAUAAUCCAAGCGAAACGUUUGGACAAAAGAAGGGGAAAGACAUUGAAACUAGAUAGAAGGCUGAGUUUAUAUGAUCUUUAAAUCAGGAAGGCGGUCGAGUAUCUCCACGCUUUCUCGCUUUGUUUAACUUCUUUUUUUUUUUUUAAUUAAAUAAUUUUUAAGAUGAACACAUUAAUGAUAAGGAGAUAUGAUAGUUGAUAGAUGCUCAAAAGUUGUUUCAGAUAGCAGUUGGAAAGCAAUAUACCGGUAUCGUAAGCACAACAGCUUUCUCCAGUUGGUGGUUGCAAUACAAAGGUAAACUUAAGAAAAUGCAUCCUCCACACUAUUCAUCUAAAUAGUAGAUUUCAUAACCAAAUCACCUCCGACCAAUAAGUUGUCAUAUGACAUAAUUGUGAAAAUGUUAUGGAUGGGGUGGUCCAAAAAUCGAAUGUAAUUGUGAAGUUAAACAGUUAGGUUUCAUGUUCUCUUCAUGUUUUAAAUAAGAAACGUUACUUAGGUGUCGUUCAGUAUUGUUUUGAGAUACCGUUUUCCUUAUUUUAGAUUCAGAAACAAUGGUAAUUUACGUUCGGUUCCAUGCAUUUCGAAAACAAAGAAAAUGGUUUUCGUAGUACAACUCUAAACCACUGUAUGAUUUGUGAAAAUGACUUUUUCUCGUUCUCAUUGUUUUCCAAAUACAAUCCCCGCGCAACUCUUGGUUACUCAUAAUCUCCUGUCUCCUCCAAGCUCUCUGUUUUCAUUGAUAGACUUGUGAAAUCUCGAACCUGUUUAAAAUAAUUUAUCUAAACUAUAUACAUAUUUGUGUGUGUGUACUUGUUCGUUUUAGUAACGAAAGUAAAAGUUCCCUUAUAACUAAACAAAAGAUACUACUUCAAAUAAAUAGAAUGUUUUAUAUUUCAUGUUUGUGUUACAAAGUAUCAAAUAGACCUUAUAGGCUUAUAUACAUCAUUUGUGCUAAAAAGAGAAAAGAAAAGAAGUAGUGUUUAUUUGUUGUUAUCUUUGGUACAUAAAUUACAUAUAGCUGCAAGGUAUUAGACAUUUGAUAUUAGCACAUGUUUUCUUAAGCUAUAUUAGAUCAUGUGUUAUAUUUGUAAACUUGUGCUUCAUGAUUUCCUUGAGUAUUACUGAUUCCAAAAGCUUCCAACAAGCUUUGCCCUCCUUCAUGUGUUAUUUUUAGAUAAAGCCAUUUGAUUAAACUUGCAGCAUUUUACACAUCAACAAAUCAGAAAAAAAAAGAAGAUAAUUACACAUGAUAUUAUUUUGUUCUACUUGCUGAUUUACCUAAUAGAAAGCUUGUGUGUGUGACACAAAGUUACACAUGUUUUACACUUUUUACCCUAUACCAAAGUGUGCAGCCACACUUUUUCUUGUGUUUUACAUAUAGUUGCUGAAUAAGCAGCUUAAAACUUAGUCUCCAAGUAGAAAAUAGUUGUUGGCAGAUAAAGAUAAACUUCAAGAGAUUUUUAUAAACAUAGCUGGCAGCAAAUUACAUUAAGUUAAGCUAUAGGUCUAAUGAUUCAUUCACAAGUAUAAAUAGAGGUCUUCACAUGAAGUAGUAACAAUUAGAGAAGUUCAGAAGUUAGAAAUAAAGUCAGGAGAUAAAAUUUAGAAUAGAAAAAAAAGACUAGUAGAGGUAUGAAGCAAGUAGUAAAGUUUCAGAUUUGGUAAAACAUGUUUGAGGUAGAGGAAAUUAUGGGGAAUCUCAAGUUUUGUUUUAUAAACUUGUUAUUUGUUUUAAGUUGUUUAUAUUGUUGCGGAAUGUGGUUAUUAUGUUUAGCUUUUCAUCAAGUUAUUAUCUGAUCAUAUGUUAAAUAAGAAAUGAAUAAAGUUAUGAGGUUGAGGCUAUUACUUGAAAAAGACAAGCAAUGUAUGCCUUUGUGUACAUGUAGGGAAAGAAACCAUUUCAAUGUUAUAUUGAUUAAACGAUCUUAUGGUAAGAAGACACCGGUGACCAAUAAUAGUACAAGAGUACCAAUAACUAAAACUUAAAAUAUGUGUAUACAUGUUUAGCAUAGUGAAAUUAUAUGGAUGAGAUUUGCUUUACCGAGUCUUUUGGCUCACCCCUUUAUGAAUUUGUGCAGAUGUUACACUUGAGGGAUAAGACUUGAUGUCUAGAAAGAAUUGAAGUUUAGGAGGAGGAGUGAAUCUAUAGCUUGCUGUAUUUAAUUCUUGUUUGUGUAAUAAGACUUAUUCUAUAAACUUACUUUCCUGUUUGUUGUAAGAACAAGAGUUAUGAAAUGAAUUUCUCUUUUACUAAAUCACUGUGAUUAUAAGUUUUCCACAUAGAUUCUAUUUGCCAAGGGUUAUCUUAUAUUUGACAAGUCGAAGUAACUCACAUCUUUACCCGAAAAAUAUAUAUAUAUAUAUAUAUAUAUAUUAUUAAUUUCCGGAUCAGGGUUGGACAAGACUUGAGUACCCUCUCCUAAAAACCAUCGUUUUCCUGUCCUACGUAGUUUCCAUUCACAAAUCUCUUCCUGUAACUUUUUCUUUCUGGAUCUGUAGACUCUGUCUAUCGAUCAAUUGAAACAUUCAAAAUGCCACAUAAUUAAGACAGAGAGAAGAUAUAUACAUACACAAAUAUAUGGAACCCAGAAAUUUCCUGGCCUCCUUGUCCCAUUCCUUUUCUAAUUGGUCAUGAGAUAAAGCUAAGAAUUUCCAGAGGUAUGUAGUGACUUGUAGUGACUGCUGGUAUUGGAUUGAUUCUGAAUAUGGACUUGUGAUUUGUGUCUGUGCGUGGCUUUGUACUGUGCAUGCUUUGAUUAUUUGAUAUAUUGUCUUGCCAACACAUGGUGGUAUUUGGGGGAUAGUCGGAUAGAUAGAAGAAAGGCUGACAGGUGUGGAGGAAGAAGACAGAGCCUUGCUGUAUUACGUUAAAAGUCUCUUAAGAUGAUAUGAACAAGAUUUAGGUUAUGAAUUUGUUUCCUAAAAGUUGACGGUUGUCACCGAACACAUUCUCAAGAUAAGAAAAUGUAAAAUACAAUCUAUUGCUUUUGUUUUGCAAAAUGUCUUUUAAAAAAUAGUUUCGUAAAACAUUACCGUAAUUUGCAAACUCAAAAUUGAUCCUUGAGGUUCUAUCAAGCAAAUUGAAGAUGAUCAUUCUUAAAAAAAGAAAAAGAAAAAAAGAAAGACCCAAUUCAAUUGGAGACGAGCUGCACUUUGAUGGGCUACAAAAAUAGAUUGAGCCCAAUCCAGGUAACUGAAACAAGUUGCCUCUUAAGGGCCCACAUUGGCGGUGGAUCAAGCGGCGUGAUCCAAACCUGCAUCGACACCACCUCAGAGAUUAAAUUUAACAGCCAAAAAUUUCCAAGAGUCCUUAUCAGACACAAAAAUCUAGCUCAUUAUAUUCACCAGUUCCCAACGCAACCAACGCGCGCUCUCUCAAAACCUCAAACUCACGCUCCGAUUUUACACCGCAAUAUCUAAAUCAACGCCCUAUAUACUCGCGUGCUCUGAACUCUCCUCUUAGCGAGUACACUGAUCUACCACAUAGCCUUUCAUAUAUAAACCCUGAAAUUCGGGUUUUUUUUUCUUUAUUGCUCCUGCUCCACUUUACUUGCGCAUUCGGCUUCUCUAAACUUUUUCAGAUCAGAAGCUUGGGGACUUUUCACGGCGGCGAUUCAGUCGGAGAAGAUGAAGAUCUUCGUGAAGACUCUCAAGGGGACUCACUUCGAAAUCCAAGUCCAGCCUCAGGACUCGGUUUGCCUCAAUCCUUCUCAAUUUUCUUUCUGAUUUUUUAGUUAAUUUCUUGGGCUGUGAUUCGCGACGAGCAUUAUGAUCGUAAUUGAAAUUUUUCUAGGGUUUCGUUCUCUUAGUUCUGUAUGAAUCGUAGUUUGGGCAUAUGGAUAUGAUUUUUGACCUUGGAUUGUGCUCCCGAGUGUUUCGGAUGAAUAGGAGUUAGGUUUUUGCUUCUAAUUUUUGAAUUUAGAAUCUGAUUACUGCGAUCUCGUUGAGAAGUUACUCCUUCUGAUUUGAGUUUUGGUGUGAAUUUGGUGUACUAUAAUUUGCUAGUUCUACAGUAAACAAAUCGAGUGUAAUUUUGAUUUUACUUUGCCUUAUGCUGUGCAAAUUUUACUGUGAGGCUGUUUAAUUCAACUUACGAUAUGCGUGAUGACGAACGACUGCUCUUUAUAGGUUGUUGAUGUGAAGAAGUCAAUAGAAACUUCUCAAGGUUUGACUGUGUAUCCCGCUGCACAACAGAUGCUAAUCCAUCAAGGGAAAGUACUUAAGGAUGACACAACAUUGGAAGAAAACAAAGUUUCGGAGAAUAGCUUUGUUGUGAUAAUGUUGACGAAGGUAUUUUUCUUUUCCACUCGGUAAUUUAGAGUACUGAAGGAUUACGUGCAUGUGGUGGUGCUGUAUCAAGUACUUUAGAUUAUGAUAAAGAAUGAUGACAAUUUGUUACCUUGCUCAAUUCCGUCUUACUAGUUUGUUACUGACUUUGUACGCUUAAAAUGCUAGAGUAAGAGCUCAUCUAGUGAGGGUUCAAGUGCGUCAACUGCGGCUACGACUAAGGUAAGAAUAGCACCUCUAUCAUCAUUCUUUUCGAUGGUCUGUGUUUUCUGGUGUUUGAGUGGAAAAGAAGAGCAUCAGUCCUCUAACCUUUUUGAUAAAUCGAUAGAUCUAUGUUGAUUUUCUUUCAUUCAAUUUUUUUUUUCUUGUUUAUUCAAAUCAACAUCUAUUUGUCUGGGUGUGGAAGAGAACCUUUCUAUUCAGAGUCAGUGAAGUAAACAAGCGUGAUAACCCGGAUUGGUUCAGAAUUGCAUUGGAGCAUUCUUGUUUUUGCUUGAAUUGAACCGUUUCGUAUAGUUUAUGUUUGAUAUAUUAUUUUUUUUGGUUUGUGCUCAUUCACAGCAUUGUAAUGGUGCUUAAAUCAGGCAGAGUUCUGCAUACACUGAUCAUUCCAUAGCAUCAGUACCUAUAGUUUCAGAUUUUGAUGCUUAAAUUUGUUGCUUGAGAUAGGCACUCCUAUUAUGGUUAUAUGGGCUUUCUGUAAAGGAUGUUUUGAUAGCUGAAAAAUAACAGGGUGGUGAUCAUCUUACAAGUUUCAAAGCCUCAUCUUUCGUUACUUAGUUAAUUACUAUCUCAUGUAUCUGAUGCUUCUUCGAUAUGAAAAUAAUCUAUUUAUUUUUGUUUUUUUAGGGUGUAAAUGUACAUGGAUUUUUAGUGUUCAAUUAUUCAGGAAGAUAUCCCUUGUACAAUAUAAAAAUUUUGACACGGUAUUUACCUACUAAUGUAUGCAUUUAUUUUGGUGCAGGCCCCACAGCCCAGUACACCUUCACCUGCUCCAACUGUGACAUCCACGACACCUCAGGCUCCUGUCUUAACGUUAGCACCUUGAGUCUAAGAUAUAUUGCUCCAUUCUUUUGUAUACAUUUGUAGUUGUAUAUAAACAAUCUAAAUCUGUUACAAUUCAUUUGACAUCUGUAAUAUUCUUUAUUAUUCAGGCCGGCAUCAGUUACCACACCAGUUUCUGGCCCUUCGGCAGCAACAGAGUGAGUAUUUCAUUGCUUCUGGUGGUGCUAUCAGUUUAAAAAUGGAGCACAGGCCUUGUUUUUGUAUACAUUUGUAGUUGUAUAUAAACAAUCUAAAUCUGUUACAAUUCAUUUGACAUCUGUAAUAUUCUUUAUUAUUCAGGCCGGCAUCAGUUACCACGCCAGUUUCUGUCCCUUCGGCGGCAACAGAGUGAGUAUUUUAUUGCUUCUGGCGGUGCUAUCAGUUUAAAAAUGGAGCACAGGCCUUGUUUCUUCCCGCACAUGUCUUCCCCACUUACUUGCCGUAUAAUAUAUCUUCUGUCUUAUAAAUCAUCAUAACUGUUCAAGCAGUUUGGACUAUGGCCAAGCAGCAUCUGAUCUGGUAGCUGGAAACAAUUUGGAGGGAACAAUUCAGCACAUUCUGGACAUGGGUGGAGGAACCUGGGACAGAGAUACUGUUGUACGUGCUCUUCGUGCUGCGUUCAACAACCCAGCUAGAGCAAUUGAUUACUUGUAUUCAGUAAGUGAAGAAAUUACAAUGACAAACUUAUAAAUUGCUUUACUUUCUUUUAAGUGUACAUGUUCUAGACCGUUUUAGUAAAUAUGUUUGAAUAAUAGACAUAAAAAUGUAGUGACUUUUGACGUGAAAAAGUUUGUUAUCUGUGCUAUUGUGGGUAUCUCUUCCUUUUGAUGAUGUAAAUUUGACAUUUCUUGAAGGGUAUCCCUGAGCAACCUGAAGCUCCAGCUGCAGCUCCUACUCGUGUGAGUGGUGAAGCUGCAAACGUUUCAGCUCCCCAAUCAGCACAACCAGCAUCUGUUCCUUCAACAGGACCUAAUGCCAACCCUUUAGACCUCUUCCCACAGGUAACCCUUUAGACCUCUUCCCAGAGGUCCUUAUCAUGCAGCUACUUAGAUAAAUUAUGACGAGAACUUCUUAGUGGUAUACUUAUCUUUAAUGACAACAGGGUCUUCCGAACCUGGGUGCUGCUGCCGGCGCUGGUGCCGGCACAGGUGUAGGUGAUCUUGAUUUUCUGCGUGACAGCCCACAGUUCCAAGCAUUGCGAGCUAUGGUGCAGGCUAAUCCACAUAUACUGCAGGUUUGCCUUCCCCGCCCUGGUCCCCCUGCGGGACUGUGUUUUCUUCCCCUUUUUUCUUUCAUCCCUCAUUCUUCUUUACUGGUCGCAGCCUAUGCUUCAAGAGUUGGGAAAACAAAAUCCUCAGCUUGUAAGGUUAAUUCAACAACAUCAAGCUGACUUCCUUCGCCUGAUUAAUGAACCUGUAGAAGGUGGAGAAGGGUGAGAGCUUAUCAUAUUAGCUUUUAUAAGGGGAUGUAUAUGUUUGCUAAACAAUAAUGGAUGCUCAUUUAUCAUUUGUUUAGGGAUGUGUUGGGACAACUGGAUGCAGCAAUGCCACAAGCAAUAACUGUCACUCCCGAGGAGCGUGAAGCCAUAGAACGUGUAAGUUAACACUACUCUCAAGCGUCCAAUCAUUAGUGAAUGUCGAGCAGUGAUGUGAAAACUAAUAUCAGUUUUGUUUCAUCUUUUGGGAAAGUGAAGUGAGCUAGUUAUUUUAAUUAUCCAAUUUGUAAUAAUGUACUUUGCACAAUUGCAUCAGAUGAGUAUAUUGGACAAUUCAGCAUCAAGUCCAGAUGCUCAAUUUUUAUAUUUCUGUUCAGAAACUCUAAUUUGCUUGUUAUGGCCAACAUAUCUACUUUUUCUGAUUGUGAUCGUAAGAGAAUCCUAGAGUCUUUUGACUUUAUAUUCUGUUGCUUUUAAAGAUGAUGAUUUUUCUUUUUCCUUGCCAGCUUGAAGCGAUGGGCUUUGAUAGAGCACUUGUAUUGGAGGUGUUCGUUGCAUGCAACAGGAACGAAGAAUUGGCUGCAAACUACCUCUUAGAUCACAUGCACGAGUUUGAGGAUUGAUCAAAGGUAGAUCAGUGGUUCAACCCUCUCCAUCAGAAAAGGGGGAAAAGAAGAAUCUAAGAAUCCUUCAUCUUGUGGCUUCCUACCCUUUCUCUAAUUUUAUUGCAUAUUUUCACAUUUAGCUGUUUUUGAAGUUUGGAGCGUCGGUGAUAUGGAUUGUUUAUAGGAUUGUUUAUGGUCUAAAAUGAACACGUAGUCUCUCUACCUUGUCUACUCAUCAUUUCUCAGAGUACAAAUUGAUUUUUUUUUCCUUUCCUAAAUACUUAAAAGCCUGAUUUUAACAAAACUGAAUGAAUGUAACCAAAUAAUUAGAAAAUUGAAGAUUCCUUUGGCUGGAGAUUCAGUUUUAUUCCGUAUGCAUUUUUUUUUUCAAGCUUUUAAUGAAGUGAAAAGACUGGACGACCGGUGAUAUGAGUACGAUAGGACAAUAUGCUCCGAGACGUCGACACAAGAGACAGGAAAUGGUAGAUUUUUGUCAUCGUGAAUUCAUGAUUUUUUUUAGUAUCAUGGUCCAAAUAUAGUCACAAAUCACAAUCCGGAAUGAAACAGGGUGGGAACGCAUGGUUUUUGGUAGACAGUCAUCGUCACAUGGCUCAAAGAUGAAUAAGAGGAACCAGUUAACAAAGACUAAUGCCGUUCUCCUCCGACUCUCAAUAAUGUGUGCUUGCAUGGUUAGAGUUCACUAGCAAGUCUGGUCGACAUGUACAACGGAAUGGUGGACGUAUGAAAGGCUGAAAGCUCAAACCCGACAUAUUUUCUAGAGACUCCGGUUUUGCAAUUCACCGAGAUCUCUAGCUUAAGGGAUAUGGAUGCCCAAAACAUUGAAAACUGAAAGGAACCGACGAGACAAUGGGGUGAGCGUCAGGGCUUGGCGCUGUGAUGUGAUAAUAGGACUCGUCAAAAAGGGGCAGGAACAUUUUGAACUCAAAGUUGUACACUAGCUUAUUGUCAUAGUCUGAAGUGUGCUCAAUUCAAAUCACUUCAUUUUCAAAUAUCAUAUUUGUCUUUUCAAGUCUAUCCGGAACUUGAAGUGCACUAGUGAGUGCGUUUCAGCAUUGGCCUUUCUGUUCUUAUAUGAGUUCUGUCAUGAUCUUACAAAUGCUCUAGAAAAGAGCCACUCUGCAUAGUACCUACGGCAACUUUGUCCCACAAGCACUAGAGGAGUUUUGCAUAGUGAGUUAAGGCACGUUUGGCUUGGCGAUCAUAGGUCUGAUAUAUCGAAACGCCGAAUCAUCGAUAUUUAGAGCAGAAGGAGCCAAUCAAGGAGUCGGUCAGGGAUAAGUGGGUUGUUUUUGACCAAGCGCGCGAGCUGUAGCAGGAGACGAGAGGGAACAUACAGCAAUCUCUAGGAUUCUAUCUCUGUAAUUCUUCAUUUUUCAUGAAUUCUUUAUGAUAUGCAAUAGAAACAUUUACUGAACGUUAUCUUCAAUCACUGUACGUUCGCAUAAUCCAGAUUUUGAUGAGAGCGGAGCUGUAACGCUGUUACUGAUAUUUAGGGUUGUGUUGCAGCUGGCUUAUCACUAAAACUGACUCAUAUUUCUAAAUUGGCAUCCAGUGUUCUUCUGUUUCAGUGAUUGAAAUGGACUUGUAACCAGUGGAAUGGAUGAUGAUCGAAAAGAAAAAAAAAGAAUUGCAUUGCGUAGCGAAAGGCAUAUUGAAUUCGAUCUCCAAUGUUUAGUACCUACCGUGCAUAUUGCAGCUGCAACUUAAAACAUUCCUUAGAACAUCAAAACUCAGAGAAGGAUAAAGAAGCUAAAACGUUCCAUUUUUAUAAAUAAUCACAAAGAUCUGUGUCACUUUCUUCUGUUCAUUUCCUUUUCGUUUCCCUAUAUAUAUCCCCGUUCAUAUCAUCAUUAUCAUGAUGUAUAUUACACAUUCAAACUAAAUGCUCUCUAGCUCUAACCUUGAAACAUCACAUCUUAGAAUAUCGUCUUCUGAUCAAUGGCACUUCCGACGACCAUUAUCACUUGUGUUAGGUAAUGCACUAAAUUAUGCAUUCAAUUAUUGAAAAGAGUGUUAACUAAAAUGCAAAACGUCUUUCUCCUAGAGAUAAUCAUAACUCGAUCACAAUAAUGGGGGAUUAUCUGUGGACUUACCGAACGAAACCAGUCUCUGCCGAUCAUCGUGUAGUCGAAAAUGCGUGCGUGCCCUAGUUGGUCACCAAAAGCCAUCCCAAACAAAACCAGAAGAAUGAGAUCAAGGUAGCAAAUUAAAUGGUACAACUGCAUGCAUGUCGGAGGUGAGUCACGUACUACUGUGGGAGUCCGUCUUAUUCAACUUCAAGGACCAUUAGCUUUGCUUAGGUCCUUUUUCUUGGACCCCUUUUAGCCCACCCCACUCAUCUCGAUCAUCAUCGUCUUCAUUGAAACACAAUCUCGUCAGUAUAUGUGUGGUUUAGAGUCGCAAUCGUUUUGAUCUGAGUCCAAAUCAUUGAGGAGCACUAAGAUGUGAUAUAAGACGCGUGGUUGGGUGAAACACCACUACCCUCUAUGCUCCUUCACUUCUCCAUCGAAUAUUUUAACAAUGAGUUCGAACAAUCAGUAUAACUGGAUCCUUAACUUGUUUAUAUCUUUGUAAGGAGUGUCUGGUUUCGAUUCUAGUCGCGCAUAUAAUGUGUCGGGUGCUUUUGGAUGGAAGAUUAGGGUUCAGCUGUACAUAGAAAUUGAUCGAUCAAACCGAAGUGUUGCAUUAUAUAUGUUAUCGUGUUUCUUUCUCGAUGUGAGCUUUUCUGUUUCUGCAUCACUCCGGCAAAUACGAUUCCGACGUGAAUCAUUUACUGGAAAUUUAUCGCCCAUAAUCAUAGAUUAACCGUACCACUAAUACCUUGCCAACACAAAAUUUACAUGAAUUUGGUUUAAUAUAUGAAAGUCCCUCCGUUUACAUACUUGGACUUGUGGUUUGAUUGCAUACGUAUAGAUCAUAAUUAGUAUAUGAUUAAGACAUAUCUUCCAUUAUUGAAUUCUCAAUUCUGAUUCUUAUCAGGGCCAUGCAUGCAUGUGUAGAGUUAAGAGUUCGAUACAGAUAGUAGUGGAACAUAUAUAUAUGCCAUAUGCAUCCCAUGCCAUCUCUUUCUCCAUCCCAAAUGUAUAUAUUAACGUUUUAUUUCUAACAAAUUAAACAAAGUAACAAAUUAAAUUUUGUGACUCUCAUUCUUCUCUCUAGUUGGCUGCAUCCUUUCUCUUCUGGUGUAGAUUUUUCUUUUUGUGUUGUUCUGUCAGGGUUUGUCUCUCAUAUCAUAUGGUAUGACAUACUUAUUGUAAAUGUGUCUAAUUGUAUGACAUAUGAGGACUUUUGAAGAGGUAAAUGGUCAUUACAUGGUCAUUUAGUUCAUUCUUCAAUCAAUGAUAGCCACACAUUUUGUGAGACAUGCUAUACCAUAUGGUAUAAUUUAGGCAUGCUAUACCAUAUGGUAUAUUAUAAUUUUCCUUUCUACCAAUUAGGUGUUAAUAAUUAUGAUGAAAAGGUUUUUUCUUUCCGGAUAUAUUAUAAUGAGGGAAAAAGUUCCGACCGUUGAUCAACAUCACAUUUUUACUUCAUCAUUAGAUUAAGACAAAGUUUCAUGAAAAGUGUAAAUAAAUAUACUUCUCGAUCUUUCUCUUAUAAUCUAUGGUUUCUGUGGUUAUCAGCACCUCCUUCCAAAAUAAGAUGAAACAGUACAGAGGUAACUCAAAUUUGUUACUGAUUGGCUCUACGCCUCUAUCCUUCAUCAUUGCCUAUAAAUAAUGGAGCUCCGUGGGUCAUUUGGAGAAGCAGUACGUAGGAAACCUUAAUUAUAUGGAAAAGAUGGAGAAAGAUAAUCAUGUCCAUGUUACAAGGAAAAAAGGAGGCUUGCGCACCAUGCCAUUCAUCUUUGGUAAUAUAUGGAGUUCUCUUUCUUCUUCUUCUUCUUCUUCUUCUUCUAUACACUUCUUUCUUUAUUUAUCCAUCCGUUUUAUUUUUCAUGUACGUGAUGGUUUAUUCACUUGUUGUGUUGAACACGAUUUUGGUGCAGCUAAUGAGAUUUGUGAGAAGUUGGCUGUGGUGGGAUUCAAUGCAAACAUGGUGAGCUACUUGACAUCCCAGAUGCAUAUGCCGUUAACACAAGCAGCCAACACCGUCACCAACUUCGGCGGCACCGCUAGCUUGACCCCUUUACUCGGUGCUUUCAUGGCCGAUGCUUACGCCGGACGCUUCUGGACUAUAACAAUUGCCUCCAUUAUUUACACCGUUGUACGUAAUUAACUAAACUCUCUCUCUCUCUCNNNNNNNNNNNNNNNNNNNNCUACUCUCUCUCUCUCUCUCUCUCUCUCUCUCUCUCUCUCUCUCUCUCUCUCGUUACGCUUAUGCAUGAAGAUGAUUAAGUGCACUGAUUAUAGAAAUUAUAAAGGACAUGCAGAACAUAUACUUAAUUAGUGUUAUGUACAAAGAAAACCAAGGUUUUUUGUCCGAAUAUGUAAAAUCAUGUUGAUUUGAGAUAUUCGGACCCAAAGACGUUAGUGAAAUGUUUUUUUUGUUUUGUUUAAAUCUCUAAUAUAUAAAGGCCUUUGAACAAUUUCACACGGUUACAUAUACUUAAUUAGUGUUAUGUAAAAAGAAAACCAAGUUUUUUUGUCUGAAUAUGUAAAAUCAUGUUGAUUUGAGAAAUUCAGACCCAAAUACGUUAGUGAAAUUUUGUUUGGUUUUGUUUAAAUCCCUAAUAUAUAAAGACCUUGAACAAUUUCACACGGUUAUAUAUAAUAUAGUUUGUUCGAUUUUUAAUAUGUAAUUUCCAUACAAGUAAAUAUAGGAUUUGAAAAAGAGACAAAAUGAAGUGUUUGAGUUGCAUGAGUUACCUGUAAGUGAAUGUCCGAAAAUUGAUAAGCUUAUACGUAGUUCAUUUUAUUGAUUUGGUAUGAGUAUGACAUACUAAACGCUCAACUUUUUCUACUAUGCAGGGAAUGAUAAGCUUGACAGUGUCGGCAGUGCUUCCAAAACUGAGGCCUCCCCCAUGUGACUACAACCAAGUGUGCCAAGAAGCCGACGGCGGACAGCUUGCAAUCCUAUACAUCUCUCUCUUACUAGGAGCUCUCGGCUCCGGCGGAAUCCGACCCUGCGUGGUGGCAUUCGGGGCGGACCAGUUUGACGAGAGUGAUCCAAAGCAAAACACCAAGACAUGGAGCUACUUCAACUGGUACUAUUUUGUGAUGGGGUUCUCCAUACUAAUUGCUGUGACAGUGCUUGUGUACAUCCAGGACAAUAUCGGAUGGGGCUGGGGGCUUGGAAUUCCAACUAUAGCUAUGUUCCUUUCGGUUGUUACAUUUUUGAUUGGGUACCCUCUUUAUCGGAACUUGGAUCCGGCCGGGAGUCCGUUUACCCGGUUGAUACAAGUGAUUGUGGCUGCUUACAAGAAGAGACAGAUACCUAUGGUUUCUGAUCCUGGCUUGCUGUAUCAGAAUGAUGAACUUGACGCUCCUAUUUCUAUGGGUGGCAAGCUUCUCCAUACCAAGCAUAUGCAGUAAGUGCUCUACUUCAGUUCUUAGUCUCAUCAUCUGCUAUAUAUAUUGAAACAGAAUCAUUUCAACACAAACAGAAAAUAUACUAGAAAAGCAUGGAAAAAACUUUUAUGAAUUCUUUACAGUUUCAUAUAUUUCGAAUCUUAAAUCAUUACCUGAGUAAAACAUGUCAGACUAUGAAAUAUCAUCGUACACAUAAAACCGACAUCGGGUUGUGGCUAGCUGAUAGAGCUGCCUUAUCACUAUCCACUGUAGCUGGCCAAUUUGUCAUUGUUAGGUGGUUCUGGAUUCAUAUUGCAGAAUGCAGAUGAGGACUAAAUCAUUUUGUCCAUGUAAAUAAUUCAUGGCAAGAAAAUAAGGAUCGAUGUAGGGACCGUGAUAUUGAUCCUAUUUUCGUGACCAUACAGCACCACAAACUUUGGUUUCUAUCAUUAAUUUUUGGUCUGUUCACUUAGGAACAAAGAAAGCUUGUGUCCUCUACUCCAUUAUCAGACUCAGUCAGUCAUCCCCCACCUCCACAGACCACAGUUCAUAAGGACGCAACAUUAAUAGCCAAGAGCAUGUAAUCUGGUCAUCGUUGCUAGUUUCGAAUACUUGUUGGCUUAAUUUGCUACUUCAUAUGUGUCACAGAUCGUAUAAUAAGCUACUCUCAUGGACCAGAGACCAUCGGUACAAUAAUUGAACAAGAACAAUAUAUUGAUUGCUUUUAUCCCCAAAACACCCAAAUUUAGUGUCGAUGUUUUUGAUUCAAAAUGUUUCAUAGAGAUGAGAGAUUAAGGUAACUAGUUGUUUGCGUUUUUACUUAGUCUUGGUAAACAAAUUUCACGAUCUAAUUGUUUAAUUAGUAAUCCCAGAUUUUUAACUAGCCAAUUAAGAUUGUUCUUAUUGCAAAAGAGUAAUAACAUGUUCGUGUGGCUAAACAAUGCAGAUUUUUUGACAAGGCAGCCAUUGUGGUAGAUCAAGACGAAGUUAAGUCACCCAACUUAUGGAGGAUCAGCACCGUCCAUCGCGUCGAAGAACUGAAAUCUGUGAUCAGAAUGGGACCGAUAUGGGCAUCAGGCAUACUCCUAAUCACAGCCUAUUCCCAACAAAGCACUUUCUCACUCAGCCAAGCAAAAACCAUGAACAGACACCUCACAAAGUCCUUUGAAAUCCCAGCGGCCUCCAUGUCAGUGUUCACCAUGGUCCCUAUGCUCUUAACAAUCGCAUUCUACGACCGAGUUUUCAUACCCCUAGCCAGAAAGGUGACAGGUUUGGACAGGGGGAUCACAUUCCUACACAGAAUGGGAAUCGGAUUCGUCAUUUCCGUAUUGGCUACUUUCGUCGCUGGAUUCGUAGAGUUGAAGCGAAAGAAGGCAGCAGUGGAUCAUGGUCUUGUGAAUCAAUCACAAUCCAUAAUCCCCAUUUCAGUGUUUUGGCUUGUGCCUCAAUACAGCCUUCAUGGGAUGGCUGAAGCUUUCAUGUCUAUCGGGCACCUCGAGUUUUUCUACGACCAGGCACCAGAGAGCAUGAGGAGCACUGCUGCCGCACUGUUUUGGACUGCGAUAUCUGCCGGGAAUUAUUUGAGCACCCUCUUGGUUUCCUUGGUGCACAAGUUUAGUGCCGGGACUAAUGGAUCCAACUGGCUACCGGAUAAUAAUUUGAACAAGGGGAAGUUGGAAAACUUUUACUGGUUGAUCACCUUGUUACAAGUUGCUAAUCUGAUUUACUACCUUUGGUGCGCUAAAAUAUAUACGUUUAAGCCGAUUCAGGUGAAAGGGAAAGAUGAAGCUGAGUCUGAAGGAAAGGGUGUGGAGCUUGCUAAUCGGGUUUAGAAUUUUAGAGGGAUUAUCAAUUAGACGUAGGUUAGUCGUAUAGUUUAAUGGUUGGUACUUAGCCUACAGCAACCAAUGAGAAUAUUGUGUACUUCGAAUAAUGCAACCCUUUGUACGUAUGAAAAUUAUGUGUUGGCCAAUAUAUAUGGAACUGCAAAACAUUUCAUCUUUUAAGACCUAACCAUACAUGCUGAAGAACUUUCGUCACUAGAACGAAAAUAAAACCUCUUAAAUCCUAAACCCUCAAAGUAACUGUGGUCUUAGAUCUCUCGACCAAUUCCUUCACAUUCAUCAACCGGCAGUUCAACUUGGUUCUUGACGGUGACCAUACCGUCAUGCUCACGAAAUCUAGUUCGGGAAGCUCCAUCAACAACACAUCGUAUUUGGUGCACCGCCUUGUCACCCUCCUCAACUUGGCGUUGCAGUAUAGGAAAGCCCAAUUGUUCUAACCAUCUCAAUGACUAUGUCACUACAAUCCUUGUCGAUGACGAUGAACAACCGGCAUUUUGUGAUUUUUGAAUAUUGUUGUUCAAAAAUCAAGAUCGAGUUGACGACUUAUUUACUGGUAAAAACUGAUUACAGAUGAAAUAAAAUUUAUCCAGAUACCCUAGGCGAUGAGUAUUACAAUUGACCUUUAAUAUCGAGUUCUAUCAUUUCUAUUUCUAUGUAUGAAUGCUAUACAGUUAUUUACGUAGUUGACUCCAAUGUCUACACCUAAAUAUUUUUCUCAAUAAAAGAAACGCAAAUACUUUUAUCAGUAUAUUUACAAAUUAUGUAUCUAGAUUAAACCCAUAACAAGGAAUUGCAUAUGUUGCAACGUAUCAUUAUGAAUGCACAAGUUAGACAAUUAUAUCGCGUACCGUCCGUAUCAUAUUAUGUUCAUUGUUUUGGAUCAUAAAAACUGAUUUUACAUUUGUCGUAAAUUAAAGAUGACUAGGGGCACAUCUACUAGGCCUAAAACAACUUUGUUAUCAUCUUAUCAUAGACUUGAUCGGGGCCUCUAACAGCAGACUGUAUAUUGGACUCAAGUGCCUCUUUUACAAAUUACCGUAUGCUGUCAAAACUAACAUAAAGAAAUGUUUCUAUCUUGAAUUUAAUUGAGACUUGCAGUAGGGCUUAAAUAAAAAAUCAUUUGGAUUUGCUCUCUGCAAAACUUGCUAUUAAAACUGUUGUUAGCACAGAUAAGCAGCGACAAUCACAGAUAAGUAGCGACAUCUACGGUAUGAAAGAAAAAUUCUUACUAGCAAACAUGUAAAACUUAGGGCUCAUAAUCACAUUCACAGUUUCUCAAGCAUUUGACCUCAACAGGUAAAGUUGGAACUCUAACUCAAGCCACGACAUGACAAAAAACUGGCACCAUUCAGAAUAAGAUCAUAAGCAAUAUUGUGCCAUCUUUCUCAAUAUACUCGGUUACCAAUAGUUUGGGACAG